rnacentral:tRNA from 1 species
GGCGCUGUGGCUCAAGUGGUAGAGCACUAGCCUUGAGCUGAUGCUUGAGGCUCUGGGUUCGAUUCCUCAGCACCA